AUGACAGCACGUCAGAAGCACUGACACUGGCACAGCUCAUUUUAUAUUUCCUAGGGAAUGUGUAGUGUUUGAGUUAAAAGAAUUAAUAACUAUGGCUAAUUAAUCACCUGACACUGAGGAUCACAGAAUUCUAGGAACAUGGAUUUCAACCCAAAAGGGGCCUCUGAGUCUAAACCCUUCAUGUUGCAGAUGAGGCAACCGGGGCCCACGGAGCUUAUCUCCCUUUCUAGAUGAGAAACAGAGGCUCAGAGAUCCAGGGAGAAAACUAAGGAUAAUUAAAAGAACUCUGAAAUUUCCUAAAGGCAGCACAUGGGACAAAUUAACUUCACAGUCCAAGGAUAUCCUGUUUUCUGAAGCUACUGUGCUUUGAACCACUCUGGAGCAUCUGUUGGAAGUAAAAUGUAACCUGUACCCACUCACUUUUAUUUACGGAACACAACUAAUCCGGAGCAUGAAUACAAAGUUCUCAGGAAAUGCUAACGCUGAUGCUAGGGGCACAUACUGAGCCAUUUUGGCAGGAAAGAAGGGUGAAAAAGUCGGCUGUCCCUUCCAUAAAAGAAGAUAAAGAGAACUCUUUUUUUAGUCACAUUUCUGGGAGAAAGGACUAGCGGAAUUAACUCUCCAAGUCUCCAUUAAAACAGUAGAAAUUGUCAUUGGGCUCCUUGUAAAAGGGAGACUAUACUCCACAAACCUUCGAUUUGCUUGUUUUUCUUUUAUAAUUGAACACUUCCUUUGCCUUUUACAUCAAAGGAACCCAAAGGCUUAUUUAUCCUUUCCGCCAUAAAAAAGUAAAAGAUCGACCCACUGUGAACAAAGUACAAAUAGAUUCCACUCUCAUGCCAGCUACAGUCAGUCUGCUCUACAGCUGCCGGUGUCAUUCUUGUAUUUUCUAGAAAGGCGAGCACAAUGAAGGAUGGACCUUAACGGCAAAGAAAGAAAAUUGCCAAGUGUUGGGAAAUAAUAGUAAUGAGAGCAGUACCUUCCAACUUCUCCAUCCCAAGCCCACUUUAAAUUCUCAUCAGCCCAAACUAUCCCUAAUAUUAAUGGAUUUAUCUCUUGGCAUACGUCCUAAAGUUGGAGGGAAGGAGCUGUGAUUUAAAUAGAUUACAUUAUUUAAAUACUUUAAUUUAAGAUCUUUUAAAGCUCAAAAGUAAAGAAAUGGACUAACGAUUAUAAAUUCAAAUAAUAUCAUGUGUAAGAUGUUGGAGAACUUUAUGAAUUGGUCACAAUAGUCCAUAUAUUGGAAGCUCAAUUAAUACUGUUCUCACAAACUCUUCUCUUUCUUAUUUAAAAAGAGUAAAGAAAUCCCCCCCUUUUUUCUAGAUUAUGAAUAAACAAAGAGAAGAAAAUGAAAACUGAGUUUUUGCUAUAUUCACAAGACAAUAUUUUGCAUUUCUUGGCUUUGCCUACUUGAAACAAAUCUUCAUACUCCCCAAAUGCGUAAAUUAAAUGUAACUAAAACAUUAAAAAUGCAUUUUAAUAAAAAA